rnacentral:rRNA from 1 species
UACAGAGGGGGCAAGCGUUAUUCGGAAUUAUUGGGCGUAAAGGGCGCGUAGGCGGCCUGGCAAGUGGAAGGUGAAAUCCCUCGGCUUAACCGAGGAACUGCCUCCCAAACUGCUUGGCUCGAGACCGGGGAGAGGUGAGUGGAAAUUCCCAGUGUAGCGGUGAAAUGCGUAGAUAUUGGGGAGGAACACCAGUGGCGAAGGCGGCUCACUGGACCGGUACUGACGCUGAUGCGCGAAAAGCGUGGGGAGCAAACGGG